rnacentral:rRNA from 1 species
UACAGAGGUCUCAACCGUUGUUCGGAUUCAUUGGGCGUAAAGGGUGCGUAGGCGGCGGGGUAAGUUAGGUGUGAAAUCUCGGGGCUCAACCCCGAAACUGCACUUGAUACUGCCUCGCUUGAGUACUGGAGAGGAGACUGGAAUUUACGGUGUAGCAGUGAAAUGCGUAGAUAUGCGGAGGAACACCGAUGGCGAAGGCAGUCCCCUGGGCCUGCACUGACGCUCAUGCACGAAAGCGUGGGGAGCAAACAGG